UGUAGACAAGUGGUUGUUUGGUUGCAUUUAACUGUAAUUGCACUAUAGUUAUAACUAAAUACCGAUUCAAAUCGAUGCUUAGUUUGAUCGAUUUGAAUCCAACUUCUGCUAUUAAAAUUGCAUGAAGCUCAAUUGCAGUAGUUAGAACUACAUAUAAAUUGACUGUAGUUUUAAUUGCAGCAGUUGGAGAGAGAGGACAAUUUUAAUUAAAAAAAAAACUUAUCUUUAUAACUACUUUUUAAGCUAGUAAAAAAAUAUUUUCUUAUUUAUAUUAGAGAUAAUCUCACAAUUAUAUAUAAAAAUAAUAAAUAUUAAAAAUAUAUUUUUCAACUGCAUACAACCAAAUAAAUUAUUUCUAAUUACAACACUUUCUUCUAUAUCCAACUAAAUAACAUAUAUAUAAUUAUAAUUAUUAUAUUUUUAACAACAUUCAUUCAGCAAAAUUUAUU
rnacentral:lncRNA from 1 species